GAAACUGCGAAUGGCUCAUUAAAUCAGUUAUCGUUUAUUUGAUAGUACCUUACUACUUGGAUAACCGUGGUAAUUCUAGAGCUAAUACAUGCUAAAAAACCCGACUUCGGGAGGGUUGUAUUUAUUAGAUAAAAAACCAAUGCCCUUCGGGGCUCCUUGGUGAUUCAUGAUAACUUAACGAAUCGCAUGGCCUUGCGCCGGCGAUGGUUCAUUCAAAUUUCUGCCCUAUCAACUUUCGAUGGUAAGAUAGAGGCUUACCAUGGUAUCAACGGGUAACGGGGAAUUAGGGUUCUAUUCCGGAGAGGGAGCCUGAGAAACGGCUACCACAUCCAAGGAAGGCAGCAGGCGCGCAAAUUACCCAAUCCCGACACGGGGAGGUAGUGACAAUAAAUACUGAUACAGGGCUCUUUUGGGUCUUGUAAUUGGAAUGAGUACAAUUUAAAUACCUUAACGAGGAACAAUUGGAGGGCAAGUCUGGUGCCAGCAGCCGCGGUAAUUCCAGCUCCAAUAGCGUAUAUUAAAGUUGUUGCAGUUAAAAAGCUCGUAGUUGAACCUUGGGCCUGGCUGGUCGGUCUGCCUCACCGCAUGUACUGAUUCGGCCGGGCCUUUCCUCCUGGGGAGCCGCAUGCCCUUCACUGGGUGUGUCGGGGAACCAGGACUUUUACUUUGAAAAAAUUAGAGUGUUCAAAGCAGGCCUUUGCUCGAAUACAUUAGCAUGGAAUAAUAGAAUAGGACGUGUGGUUCUAUUUUGUUGGUUUCUAGAACCGCCGUAAUGAUUAAUAGGAACAGUCGGGGGCGUCAGUAUUCAGUAGUCAGAGGUGAAAUUCUUGGAUUUACUGAAGACUAACUACUGCGAAAGCAUUCGCCAAGGAUGUUUUCAUUAAUCAGUGAACGAAAGU
rnacentral:rRNA from 2 species